CCUGAGCGGGGUAAAGCCAG
rnacentral:snRNA from 1 species